AACCAGAUCUGUGCACCAGCAUCGCGAUACGGAUCGUCGUAGCGCGACGACGUCUGUCAAGUUGCUGCAAAUAAAAGAGCCCGCUGCGGUUUGGACGGGGCAGAUGAGAUCGAAAAUACAUGCAUAGCGAGGUCCGCACGGGUCACGUGUGUACUUGAACUGAAAUGAAAUAUAAUCUCUUUUCUCGGUCAGACGUAUGCGUCCUCGAUCAAGGCCAUAGAAUAGAAGGAUCCGAUCUGCGUUUGGCUUGAGAGAGAAGCACGGUACUGGUCUGUCUCGUUGUCUAGGCAGGGCCAACAAAUAAUGGGUCGCACUCGCACAUGCUCCCCUCAUCCAGUGGGCCAAUGGGGGGACACGUGGCUAUUUUGUCCCUUUGUGAAGCAUCAACCGCAGAUCAUUCGGCACUGCAGCAGUAUGUUGCUCUCUGCUGUGGAAUUAGUCGGUUCCUCUCCUUGAUAUAGCUGUGAAUGAAUUAGGAAAAGUGGGUAGAUUUGUUUUUAGCUCUAGUCCAAAAAGCGUCGUGGAGUUUGCCGACGUGGUCGAUGUCAGGUGGAAAUCCGGUACGUGGAGGCGGCCCACGCGUUUGACUAGGACCGGGUAAAGGGAAAGCCACGGAGCGGUCUGUCUGGCGGCUAUCUUCGUACUCCUCCAACCAACCCCCCUGCAAACAGGGAGGCCAGCUUUUGUUUCUUUUCAUUUCAUACUCGAGAAGAGAAACAGCAAAGCCGUGGAGUCAGCGCCGGUCCAAGGUUCAGACACCGUCUCCACACGAUUUUCUUCUCUCUGUGCGUCAUCUCGCAGUCAGCUCCGAGAUGGGUUACAGCAUGAGGUCCAUGUCGUGACCUUUUACUUUCGGAAAAACAUUUGUUUCGGGGUCAUGGUCAAGAAUGCCUGCUCGAGAGCUCAACGAGGGUCACGACUGGGACGCAGCUUCGGUGUCUUAAAGACACCUGCCUUUGGGUCAGUGACAUAUGGGCCAGCCAUCUGUUGGGCCCACAUGUCAUAGACACAAAGGUAGGUGCCUUAAGGCACCGAAGCAUCGUCCCUAGGAUUGAGACCUUUUUACGUUCGUUAGCCAACUAAGAGCAAUUUCAACCGAAUGAUUCAUUUCGUCCGACCAUGUUUGUUUGGAUCUGCGCGGACAAAAACGAUUGCCCAACGCAGCGGACACGCGAGAGCUGCGGGACGAGACGCGGCCGAAAACUAGCGGGCAAGGCAGUGCGGGAGUUCGACCGAAUAACAACGUGGACAUAUCUAAAAUGCGUCCAGCCCCAUUGAACGCACCGGCCGACCCAAAUCAAAAAAGCAAACACAGACGGCCGGACAGGCGACCCAAACGGAUAAAAAAGGAUAAAAUCUGCGUCUGUUUGGGUUGCUGAGAUGGAGUUGCUUUAACCACAUGUAAGCUGCAAGUCAACGGAGAUGAACCAGCCACAUCACAUGUGUAUCAGGUCGGAUCGCUCCAACCUCAACAAAACGUAUCUGUUUCUUUCGAUGCUCACUCCAGCAAAUAACCAUGCAGAGAGAGAAUAGAAAUGCAAAUGGAGCAGAAGCAUCCAGCGACAGGGACAUUGGCAAAGCAGCCACGUGAAGCUUUAGUAUAGCAGCCCCGUGUGUCCCUUGGCAUCUGUUAUUUAGCAAAUAUACGCCACACAAUCUCAGACUAAACUAAGCCUGUGAGGCUGCGAUUAUUUAAACCUUCCCGUCAAAAGCAUCCACUCAGCACGAUCUUGCAGCCCCACGGCCACUAGCCAUUGAAAAUGCAUGCUGCUUUGCGACUUACCAUCGCCGCAACACUCAUAAUCUUUACUAGUUGCUCACUGAGGGAACAUAAAAUUUUGCUGCAGAAAAGCAAAACAAAGCCAUGACAUCAUCCCUCGCAAACAAGAUAACAUAAAUGCAAAGUAACUCAUGUUAGAAGCCACGAUACUUUAUUGGUAAUUUUCCGGUCAACUCAAGCCAUCUUUCUCAUGAAGAUGCUACUGGAUAUCAUUCAUGCAGUAAAGUGUAAACAACACGGGCCCUGUCAUUUCCUUCGUUUCUAUGGGGCCUUUUACACAUAUCUGAGAGGUGGGUUAACCAAUACACACCCACAAAGCAGUUUGACUAGCCAAAUUUACAUGCUACCACCACGAACAUAUGAGAUCUAAUUCCGAUGGUUCGACAACUCCUAUGCAACACAGGAUGAAUUCUCCUACUAGGGCGGCAUAGCUGAAGCCGUUGAACCAUGAAAUCUGAUCAAUCAUGCAUUGGGAUUGCUGAGAGGCCUAAUCAAGUGCUGUUGCGCGCUGGUGGUGCACUAUUGACGCUCUGAUGCUCUCACCUGCAAAAGGUUAGAUAGACU
rnacentral:lncRNA from 1 species